rnacentral:lncRNA from 1 species
UAAAUCCCUCUGUCACAGGAGACAAACACAGAAACCGCUCUUGUCAAGCAGAGAUCAAAUGUGUUAAGAAUUUUUGUACCACCUUUUAUGAAACUAUUGAAGGACUUAUGACCCAAGCUUGGAGCUGUGCUUACUGGCUUGGCUCUGUCUGGUAGAGUAGCCCUUGACCUCCAAACAGAGUCCCUUCCUGCUUACAGAGUCCCCAAGACUGGAAAAGUGCUGCUACCAACCUGCCCUUGCUCGCCAACCCUGAUUUUAGAGUUAUCAAAAGCAAAAAACACUAAAGGUACUUUGCUCCCUGUAGAGAAACCUUUGUCAUCUUGUAGCAAGUGCUGGAAUGUCCCUUUUCCUAUGCAACUUUUUUUAACCCUUUAAUGAACUUAUCUGUUGAGUACAUCGAAGAAUAUUUUUCUUCCUAGAUUUUGUUGUUUAAAUUAUGGGGCCUAACCUGCAACUUAUUUUUUGUCAAUUUUUUAAACUUUUUUUUAAUUACUGUAAAGAAAAUGAAUUUUUUUCCUGCAGCAGGAAACAUAGUUUUGAGUAGUUCUACCUCUUACCUGUAGCUGCCAGGCUUUCUGUAAAAAAUGUAUUGUAUAUAAUGUGAUUUUUACACACGUGUGUGCACAUGAGUACGCACACACACACACACACACACACACACACACACACACACACACACACCACUCUAGGGUAAGCCAGAAGGCUAGAACAAAUUAAAAGAAAAAUGAAACACCAUGUUUCUAAGAAUCUGUUGGGUUGUCAGAUUGUCCCUGCCCCCCCCCCUUUUUUUCCCAAAAUAAUUGUAGCUGUUUUGUGAAGGAAUCUGGGGAGGAGAGAGAACUGUGUGCAGGAGGGAUAACUUCUGCUGUGGGGAUGGUCAUGCUGGGAGCAGAUACUGGUGUGUUACACGUCGAACAUCCUACAAAGUAUUGGUAGGGAUUUCCUCAUUUUAAUAAUUUGUGUGUUUGUGUAAAAACUCUGUGUGUGGUUGUUGUACACCUGUGCAAAGCCAGAUGGAGUGACAGUAACCAGAGGGCAAAGCUGUCAUGCUUCUUGUGUCCAUUUUUAUAAAGUCCAAAACCACUCAUGAGAACUCUAUUAGGGGCCAAGAAAUACAUUGUGUAAAUUCAGGUGAGCAUAGCUUAUUACUCAGAUGUCAGUCAGCACCACAGAUACAACAGUCCGGAUCUAAAAUAUGAAAGCCAUAAGAAUAUUAACAGCCCUGUCACAUACCUGUAACAUGGUGUAGGAAUGCACAUAGAUCUGCGAAGAAAGUUUAAAGUGCUCACUUACAUGCACUCUUAGGAUAGGGUUAUUGGACCACUCAGAAUACGUGUAUGUGUGUGUAUCUAUGGGCUUCAAUAGACCGA